GACGAACGCUGGCGGCGUGCCUAAUACAUGCAAGUCGAACGCAGUGGGGACGGGUGAGUAACACGUGGGUAACCUACCAUAAGUGGGGAUAACACUUGGAAACAGGUGCUAAACCCAUACUGCUGGCUGGACCCGCGGGGCAUUAGCUAGUUGGGUAGGUAACGGCUCACCAAGGCCACGAUGCAUAGCCGGUCUGAUAGGGUGAUCAGUCACACUGGGACUGAGACACGGCCCAGAUGCCUACGGGAGGCAGCAGUGGGGAAUUUUGGACAAUGGGGGAAACCCUGAUCCAGCCAUCCCGCGUGUGAGAUGAAGGCCUUCGGGUUGUAAAGCACUUUUGGCAGGAAAGCGUUACCUGCAGAAUAAGCACCGGCUAACUACGUGCCAGCCGCCGCGGUAAUUC
rnacentral:rRNA from 1 species